UAAUAAGAAGAAAAGACCCGAUGGAGCUGUAAUUUAUUAAUUUAUUCUACCAUUUUAAAUUCAUAAGAACAUAAAAUAUAAAAUUUAAAUUAAUAAUUUUGGUUCACAGAACAACAAAUCCUCCGAAAGAUAUUAACCUAGCUACAAGUCAAAGCCUACCAUCAUUAACUGACCCAAAACCCACCCAAGUUACCCUAGGGAUAACAGCCCAAUCCUAUUUUAGAGUUUGUAUUGACAGUAGGGUUUAUGACCUUGAUGCUGGAUCAGGACGUCCUAAUGGGGCAGCCACUAUUAAGUGUUCGUUUGUUCAACGAUUGAAGUCCUACAUGAUCGGAGUUCAGACUGGAGUAAUCCAUGUCAGUUUCUAGCUAUUA
rnacentral:ncRNA from 1 species